GCUGGCGGCAUGCCUAACACAUGCAAGUCGAACGGAAACGACAGGAGCUUGCUCCUGGGCGUCGAGUGGCGGACGGGUGAGUAAUGCAUAGGAAUCUGCCCAUGUAGUGGGGGACAACCUGGGGAAACUCAGGCUAAUACCGCAUGAGCCCUUCGGGGGAAAGCAGGGGAUCUUCGGACCUUGCGCUAUUGGAUGAGCCUAUGUCUGAUUAGCUUGUUGGUGGGGUAACGGCCUACCAAGGCGACGAUCAGUAGCUGGUCUGAGAGGACGAUCAGCCACACUGGGACUGAGACACGGCCCAGACUCCUACGGGAGGCAGCAGUGGGGAAUAUUGGACAAUGGGCGCAAGCCUGAUCCAGCAAUGCCGCGUGUGCGAAGAAGGCCUGCGGGUUGUAAAGCACUUUCAGUGGGGAGGAAAAGCUCAAGGUUAAUACCCUUGGGUCUUGACGUUAUCCACAGAAGAAGCACCGGCUAACUCUGUGCCAGCAGCCGCGGUAAUACAGAGGGUGCAAGCGUUAAUCGGAAUUACUGGGCGUAAAGCGCGCGUAGGCGGUUUGUUAAGUCGGAUGUGAAAGCCCCGGGCUCAACCUGGGAACUGCAUUCGAUACUGGCAGGCUGGAGUAUGGUA
rnacentral:rRNA from 1 species